rnacentral:lncRNA from 1 species
GAAGACGUCUUCCUCCAAAAUCUUGCUGAGGUGCUCCUCUCUCUUUGCCUCUUCUCUUUUCUCUGUACUUUAUAUUGGCAGUAUUUUCCCUAUCGUGUCUGAUGUGUUCAUGAGCUAAUUUGUUCUUAUAGUGGUUCCAACUUUAUUUCUAUCUCGCAGGAUUUUGUUGCAACGACACAGUGCUGACAAUUUUUGUUUUUGGAAUUUGUCAAUGAAAUUCUGCUCGAUCAGGUAAACCUUUUGUUUGGAUUGUUGGCCGCCUUGUCUAUAUUUGUAGAUACUGAUUUUGUUGUUUGCUUAAUGGCUCAUUAUUUCACAGGGUUCUUAAAUAUAUGUUCACCAAUUCAGAUGAACCGCUUAUUUUAUGUGCAUACUGGAUAUUUGUCGUAUAUGUAGAAGGUUCUACAAUAUAUCAAAGAAAAACAAAACAGAGAGGAUGCUGGGGCUCGGGCAAGGGAGGCUGCGCUCAGUGCAGUACUGCGGUCUUUACUGCCCUUCACUAUUAAUUAAAUAUAUAUUCUCUUCAUAGUUCAUACAGUUUUAGGCUUUUAGCAGUAUGAAAAGUCACAGAUAAUGUGAUGGUGACAUUUGGGCUUAUACAAGUGUUAGUUGUCAGUCUCUGCCCGCAUGCAUUUGAACGUUGCCUUGGCCACGAUCCUUAAGCUUGUCAAAAGUUGUGGAUCGAUAGGCAUUGACAAAAAAAUAUAAGCUCUAUGUUCUGAAAUACAGGUAGAGCAGCAGCUAUAGCACCCCUAGAGAGAUUGCGUUGAUUGAUUCUCAUCGUAUAUAUAACUCAACUAUUUAAAGUAUUCUAUAUACACUGAAAUCGUGCUCAUAAUUUUUUAAAGUAUUCUAUAUGCACUGAAAUCGAGCUCAUAAUUUUUU